rnacentral:rRNA from 1 species
CCUACGGGAGGCAGCAGUAGGGAAUUUUCGGCAAUGGGGGGAACCCUGACCGAGCAACGCCGCGUGAAGGAAGAAGGAAUUCGUUCUGUAAACUUCUGUUAUAAAGGAAGAAAGACGGAUGGAGGAAAUGACAUCCGAGUGACGGUACUUUAUGAGAAAGCCACGGCUAACUACGUGCCAGCAGCCGCGGUAAUACGUAGGUGGCAAGCGUUAUCCGGAAUUAUUGGGCGUAAAGAGGGAGCAGGCGGCAGCAAAGGUCUGUGGUGAAAGACUGAAGCUUAACUUCAGUAAGCCAUAGAAACCGGGCAGCUAGAGUGCAGGAGAGGAUCGUGGAAUUCCAUGUGUAGCGGUGAAAUGCGUAGAUAUAUGGAGGAACACCAGUGGCGAAGGCGACGAUCUGGCCUGCAACUGACGCUCAGUCCCGAAAGCGUGGGGAGCAAAUAGGAUUAGAUACCCCAGUAGUC